rnacentral:rRNA from 1 species
GACGAACGCUGGCGGCGUGCUUAACACAUGCAAGUCGAACGGAAAGGCCCUGCUUUUGUGGGGUGCUCGAGUGGCGAACGGGUGAGUAACACGUGAGUAACCUGCCCUUGACUUUGGGAUAACUUCAGGAAACUGGGGCUAAUACCGGAUAGGAGCUCCUGCUGCAUGGUGGGGGUUGGAAAGUUUCGGCGGUUGGGGAUGGACUCGCGGCUUAUCAGCUUGUUGGUGGGGUAGUGGCUUACCAAGGCUUUGACGGGUAGCCGGCCUGCGAGGGUGACCGGCCACAUUGGGCCUGAGAUACGGCCCAGCCUACUACGGGAGGCAGCAGUGGGGAAUAUUGCACAAUGGGCGGAAGCCUGAUGCAGCAACGCCGCGUGCGGGAUGACGGCCUUCGGGUUGUAAACCGCUUUCGCCUGUGACGAAGCGUGAGUGACGGUAAUGGGUAAAGAAGCACCGGCUAACUACGUG